rnacentral:rRNA from 1 species
AUUGAACGCUGGCGGCAUGCCUUACACAUGCAAGUCGAACGGCAGCACGGGAGCAAUCCUGGUGGCGAGUGGCGAACGGGCGAGUAAAGUAUCGGAACGUGCCCAGUCGUGGGGGAUCACGUAGCGAAAGUUACGCUAAUACCGCAUACGAUCUAUGGAUGAAAGCGGGGGAUCGCAAGACCUCGCGCGAUUGGAGCGGCCGAUAUCAGAUUAGGUAGUUGAUGGGGUAAAGGCUCACCAAGCCGACGAUCUGUAGCUGGUCUGAGAGGACGACCAGCCACACUGGGACUGAGACACGGCCCAGACUCCUACGGGAGGCAGCAGUGGGGAAUUUUGGACAAUGGGCGAAAGCCUGAUCCAGCCAUGCCGCGUGCAGGAUGAAGGCCUUCGGGUUGUAAACUGCUUUUGUACGGAACGAAAAGGUUUGGCCUAAUAAGCUGAGCUCAUGACGGUACCGUAAGAAUAAGCACCGGCUAACUACGUGCCAGCAGCCGCCGUAA